rnacentral:rRNA from 1 species
UAAGGUGGUUAUAGCGCUGGGGUUCCACCUCUUCCCAUUCCGAACAGAGAAGUUAAGCCCACCCACGCCGAUGGUACUGCGUAACAGUGGGAGAGUAGGUAGCCGCCGUUU